UGGAUUUCUUGUAAUCAGCA
rnacentral:snRNA from 1 species